UCGAUCGAUACUUAAGUGAGCCUUAAACAAUUACAGAACGCACAUAAAAACAUUUAUAUUGGAUAAACAGAUAAUUUUCAUGAAAUAUCAGAGCUUAUAUAACUCAAGAUACACUGUAUGUAAAAUAAAACCCACCUGAAUAGGCAAAGCCUGUAGUUUAAUCGUAAACCCGUCACGGAAACGCAGUGCUAAUCCUCCUGAUCCUCAAGCCUACAAGAAAUCUAUUCUUAAUAGGUCUCUUGGUGCUAUUCUAACUUCUAAACAAAUAUGGGGAUUGCUAACUAUUGAUACACUUUGCCCGAAUAAGAAUUCUAUAAUAUCUUUAAGUGAAUCCAUAAACUUUUAAUACAUAAUUAAUAACUUAAUAGAUAUAAUUAAUAAUAUUAAAUUUAAGACUUAUAAAUAAUUAAUAAUUUCAAAAAAAUACAAAACCAUAAACUUGGGAGAAAUUAAUAAAAUUUAUUAAAUCAUUUAUAGGCCCAAAAUAAUAAUUAUGUCCAAGAAAAUAAUUUGAGGAAAAACCUACAAUGACUUAAUAAGGCCCAAGCAUAAUACAUAAAUUGAGCCCAUAAGUUUUAUUAAACAACAGCCCAUUUAGAAAUAAAAAUCGGCCCAUUAGCUAAAUUAAAGCCCAAAUAUAGCUUAAAGCCCAAAUUGAAAAAAAAUCAAACUAAAACAAAAGAAUAGAAAAUCACCUCUCACUUUCUCUCUCUCUCAAAUCGGUCCCCUCUCUCUCUUUCUUCUCCCUGAACCACCGCCUCUUCUCCCUCCAAGAUUUACCGCCGCCGCCUGCUUCAACCCCGGCGAGGAUCGCCGGCUCCGACGCCUCCCCCAAUCAUCGUCGUCUCCUCCGUCUCUCCCUCCUGGCGCACAUCAGGCGACCGAAGAGCGCCGCCGCCGCCGUUGUUGCUUUCGCGGCGGUCCGCGCGCGCCUGUCCUUCGGCCGCGUCCUCCUCCCCCUCUCUCUCUCUGCUCGCGGCGACCAGCCACCCUGGGCCGCCCCACCACGGCAGUGGCUGCUGCCGACUCUACCUCUCCUCCUUCCUCCCAGAUCCGUUGCCGCCGCCGCCGCCUGCAGCCACUCCGGCGAGACUCGCCUUCAGCCGCCUCCCAUCUGCCCUCUCCUUCCAUCACGUUUCCGGCAGCGGACGAGCGCUUGCUGCUGCUGCUCCGUUCUCGCAGUGGCUAGCGGCGCUUGGCCUUCGGCCGCGCCGCCCCGUGCGACGGCGUCUCGCAUCGCCUCGGGUCACGCCGCCUCGCCUCCUGCCAGCCAACAGUCGUCCGUCUUGGGCCUCCGCCUCCUCCUCCGCCUGCUUUAGCUACGAGCGGCCGGUGGGCUGCCGCCACCUGCAGCACCGGCAGCUGCGACUUCGUCAACUCAGAGUGAGGCUCCGACAGACCCCCUCCCAGCUCUCACCACUUUCUCGACUCUCACUCUCGUUCCGAAGGUAAGCAAGAAGGAUUCAACUCAGAUUUGAAGAAAAGAAAGAUGGGUUCUUGGAGAAAUCUGAAAUUGUAUAAAUGUUAUGUCCUUAGGUUUUCUUGUUUCCAAAGGUUCUGUACAAAUUCUUCUUUGUUUCUGAAGAUUACGGAAAUGUAGUUGAGAAUAGGAGUAUGAAGUUGAACCAUACACACCACAAUUGUGGUGGCAGGGGUGAAGAAAUGGUGGGUUUUGUUGGUGUUUGUUGUAUUUGGUUUUGUGGAGUAUAAAAUGAGCUUGACAGCAGAAGAUUGUCUUGGAAAAUAAAAGGAUUUGCUCGUAGGAUCAAUUUGUCAAGAUUUGGAAAAAGUAAAAGAUUUGGCACUGCAGAAUUUUUGGGGAGAUGGAAGAUCUGAUACUGCAAAAUCUUUGGGAAAAAGGGAGAAACGUUGCUGCCUUCACCAAAAUUUCAAAUUUUGGAUUAUUGAGGAGCUCACAAAUUUUUUU
rnacentral:lncRNA from 1 species